GGUAUUAAUGAUUAGUAGGAGUGGUGGCUCAAGUGUCCUUAGGUGCUCUGAUACGUAACGGGAUGGGAACUUUGUUAUUGCUUUCUAUUCCUUACGUAUUGUUUUUGAAGAAUUAUGAUUAUCUUUUUAGAAUGGAUUUUUAUGACAUAAUUGUAAAGAGGCCUUCGUGCCAAAGACUGUUUAGUUAUUGAAUAAAUCCCGCUGCGAAGU
rnacentral:lncRNA from 1 species